GCCGGCAGCCAUAUCACCCUGUAGCCCAAGACUGGUUGCCCACUGAAGCUAAGCAGGGCUGAGCCUGGUCAGUACCUGGAUGGGAGACCUCCUGGGAAAACUAGGUUGCUGCUGGAA
ensembl:rRNA 5S_rRNA 5S ribosomal RNA